GUCAAAUGAAGUAAGGCUUACGGUGGAUACCUAGGCACUCAGAGACGAAGAAGGGCGUGGAAACCAACGAAAUGCUUCGGGGAGCUGGAAACAAGCUAUAAUCCGGAGAUUCCCGAAUAGGGCAACCUCUUGUACUACCUAUUGAAUUCAUAGAUAGGAAAGAGACAACCCGGUGAAUUGAAACAUCUUAGUAGCCGGAGGAAAAGAAAGCAAACGCGAUUCCCUUAGUAGCGGCGAGCGAAAUGGGAACAGCCUAAACCAGGUUCAAAACUGGGGUUGUGGGAAAACAUACAAUAUUAUCAAAUCUCUAGACGAAGCAGCUGAAUCCUGCACCAUAGAUGGUGAAAGUCCAGUAGUUAAAAGAAGAUUUUUCUAAGUUUAUCCCGAGUAGCAUGGGGCACGUGAAAUCCCGUGUGAAUCAACGAGGACCACCUCGUAAGGCUAAAUACUCCUGAGUGACCGAUAGCGAAAUAGUACCGCGAGGGAAAGGUGAAAAAGAACCCCUGUAGGGGAGUGAAAAAGAACAUGAAACCGUAAGCUGUCAAACAGUGGGAGCCCUGUUUAGGGUGACCGCGUUCCUGUUGAAGAAUGAGCCGGCGACUUAUAGAAAGUGGCUUGGUUAAGGAAUUUCAUCCGGAGCCAAAGCGAAAGCGAGUCUGAAUAGGGCACUUUUGUCACUUUUUAUGGACCCGAACCCGGGUGAUCUAACCAUGACCAGGAUGAAGCUUGGGUAAAACCAAGUGGAGGUCCGAACCGACCGAUGUUGAAAAAUCGGCGGAUGAGUUGUGGUUAGGGGUGAAAUGCCAAUCGAACUCGGAGCUAGCUGGUUCUCCCCGAAAUGCGUUGAGGCGCAGCGGUUGACGAAUGGGCUAUCUAGGGGUAAAGCACUGUUUCGGUGCGGGCUGCGAGAGCGGUACCAAAUCGUAGCAAACUAAGAAUACUAGGUAUUGCUUUCCGUCAACCAGUGAGACGAUGGGGGAUAAGCUUCAUCGUCAAGAGGGAAACAGCCCAGAUCACCAGCUAAGGCCCCUAAAUGGCCGCUAAGUGAUAAAGGAGGUGAGAAUGCUGAAACAACCAGGAGGUUUGCUUAGAAGCAGCCACCCUUAAAAGAGUGCGUAAUAGCUCACUGGUGGAGCGUUCUUGCGCCGAAAAUGAACGGGACUAAGCGGCCUGCCGAAGCUGUGAGAUUUUGAAAUCCUAAGCUUCUUUUUCUGUUUUCCUUUCCAUAGAAAAGAAAACAAAACCCAUAGCAAAAGCGUUGCUACGCAAAGCAUUUGCUGGUUUCUUGAGAAAGAAAAAAGCAAGAAGGAAUAUCGAAAUCGGUAGGGGAGCGUUCCGCUCUAGGGUGAAGCAUUAACGGAAGUUCUUGUGGACGAAGCGGAAGUGAGAAUGUCGGCUUGAGUAACGCAAACAUUGGUGAGAAUCCAAUGCCCCGAAAACCUAAGGGUUCCUCCACUAGGUUCGUCCAUGGAGGGUGAGUCAGGACCUAAGGCGAGGCCGAAAGGCGUAGUCGAUGGAAAACAGGUUAAUAUUCCUGUACUCAAUCUUUUCUGGUACCGAGGGACGAAGCAGGUAAAAGUUAGCCGAAGUUGGAGUUCGGUGGAAACGUUCAAGGUUAUGAGAGGUAGAAAAAAAACUAUCCUUGAGCUAAGACGUGAUACGGUUUUAUUCCCUGUAUCUGAAGCUUGUCUUCAGGUUCAUAAUAAAACUUAACUUCUUAUCAUACUUCCUAGAAAAGCUCGAACUACUAAACAAAAAGAUUGACCUGUACCCGAAACCGACACAGGUAGGUGGGUAGAGUAUACCUAGGGGCGCGAGAUAACUCUCUCUAAGGAACUCGGCAAAAUGGCCCCGUAACUUCGGGAGAAGGGGUGCCGGAGUAAAACUCCGGUCGCAGUGACCAGGCCCAGGCGACUGUUUACCAAAAACACAGGUCUCCGCUAAGUCGUAAGACAAUAUAUGGGGGCUGACGCCUGCCCAGUGCCGGAAGGUGAAGGAAGUUGGUUAUUCUUCUGAAAAAGCUGACAACCGAAGCCCCGGUGAACGGCGGCCGUAACUAUAACGGUCCUAAGGUAGCGAAAUUCCUUGUCGGGUAAGUUCCGACCCGCACGAAAGGCGUAACGAUCUGGGCACUGUCUCGGAGAGAGACUCGGUGAAAUAGACAUGUCUGUGAAGAUGCGGACUACCUGCACCUGGACAGAAAGACCCUAUGAAGCUUGACUGUAGCCUGGAAUUGGGUUUGGGCUCUUCUUGCGCAGACUAGGUGGGAGGCGUUGAAAGUUCCUUUCCGGAGGAGCUUGAGCCAUCAGUGAGAGACCACUCUGGAAGAGCUAGAAUUCUAAUGGCGAUCCUUGAAUCAGGACGCUUGACAGUUUCAGGCGGGCAGUUUGACUGGGGCGGUCGCCUCCUAAAAGGUAACGGAGGCGUGCAAAGGUUCCCUCAGGCUGGACGGAAAUCAGCCGUAGAGUGUAAAGGCAGAAGGGAGCUUGACUGCAAGACUUACAAGUCGAGCAGGGGCGAAAGCCGGCCUUAGUGAUCCGACGGUACCGAGUGGAAGGGCCGUCGCUCAACGGAUAAAAGUUACUCUAGGGAUAACAGGCUGAUCUUCCCCAAGAGUUCACAUCGACGGGAAGGUUUGGCACCUCGAUGUCGGCUCAUCGCAACCUGGGGCGGUAGUACGUCCCAAGGGUUGGGCUGUUCGCCCAUGAAAGCGGUACGUGAGCUGGGUUCAGAACGUCGUGAGACAGUUUGGUCCAUAUCCGGUGUAGGCGAUAGAGCAUUGAGAGGAGCCUUCCAUAGUACGAGAGGACCUGGAAGGACGCACCAAUAGUAUACCAGUUCUUGUGCCAACAGGAAACGCUGGGUAGCCAAGUGCGGAGAGGAUAACUGCUGAAAGCAUCUAAGUAGGAAGCCCACCUCAAGAUGAGUGCUCUCUUAAGGUCACGGUAAGACAAGCCGUUUGAUAGGUGUUAAGUGGAAGGCCAGUAAUGGUUGGAGCUGAGACAUACUAAUAGACCGAUUGAUUUUGAC
rnacentral:rRNA from 1 species